rnacentral:rRNA from 1 species
UACGUAGGGUGCGAGCGUUAAUCGGAAUUACUGGGCGUAAAGCGUGCGCAGGCGGUUAUGUAAGACAGGUGUGAAAGCCCCGGGCUCAACCUGGGAAUGGCCGUUGAAACUGGCGAACUGGAGUGUGGCAGAGGGGGGGGGUGGAAUUCCGCGUGUAGCAGUGAAAUGCGUAGAGAUUGGGAAGAACACCAGUGGCGAAGGCGGCUAUCUGGACGGUUUCUGACACUAAGACUCGAAAGCGUGGGGAGCAACAGG